AGUGAACGCUGGCGGUAGGCCUAACACAUGCAAGUCGAACGGCAGCACAGUAAGAGCUUGCUCUUACGGGUGGCGAGUGGCGGACGGGUGAGGAAUACAUCGGACUCUACUUUUUCGUGGGGGCUAACGUAGGGAAACUUACGCUAAUACCGCAUACGACCUACGGGUGAAAGCAGGGGAUCUUCGGACCUUGCGCGAUUGAAUGAGCCGAUGUCGGAUUAGCUAGUUGGCGGGGUAAAGGCCCACCAAGGCGACGAUCCGUAGCUGGUCUGAGAGGAUGAGCAGCCACACUGAAACUGAGACACGGCCCAGACCCCGAGGGGGGGCAGCAGUGGGGAAUAUUGGAAAAGGGGCGAAAGCCUGAUCGAGCCAUACCGCGUGGGUGAAGAAGGCCUUCGGGUUGUAAAGCCCUUUUGUUGGGAAAGAAAAGCAGCAGGUUAAAACCCCGCUGUUCGGACGGUACCCAAAGAAUAAGCACCGGCGAACUUCGG
rnacentral:rRNA from 1 species